AUUAAAAUAAUUUUGACAUCAAUUUUAAAAAAUUUGGCUCUAAGAUUAGACCGAACGAACCGUUCUGAUUGAAUCGGACCCAAAAUGGACCCAAGGCCCAACUAGUCAGCCCAAGUAAUUAAAGAAGGGGCACUCUUCUUCCCUUCACUCAGCAAACACGCUGAAGCAGCACCCAUGGUGAAAGGGAAGAAGACAUAAACCUAACACCACCUUCUAUCUACCAUAAUUUCUUCAUCCAAACUCCGAUUGCCGCACCGUUUGCGGCCACACGUUUAUCGCGUUGAGCUCUACAAUUCUAUUGGAAUAAUUUUUUUAGUGUGAACUAGGUGUGUGUAUACAAGUUUUGGGAUUGAAUUGUGGAUAUUUGAAGGCUUGGUGAAGGAUUGGUGUCAAGGUCUUGGUGGUUUUGUGAAUUGUGAGACUGUAUGUAUGACUUAAGGGUUGCCUUGGACCAACACCGGAAUCGGCUAAGAUGCAGGUCGAGAGGCACCUCGCAAGGCGUCUGGAUCCUUGAAGCGGAGUAGUCCAUGGGUUCUUUUGAUUAUCAGUUUGUGUAUAUAUAUACUUAGCUUUCUCUCCAAGAAACUUGAUUAUUUUGUCCCUCAUAGAGGUUAAAGGAGAGUUAAGGUUUUAUUUAUGUAUUUUGGGUAUUUUGGGAUAUUUGUAUAUGUAUGUAAAUAUUCUUCCGCCAACCUUGGCUUCGUAGGCUGAGUCAGGGGCUAGUUAUGCUGUAUUCUUGGCUAUUUAUCCACUCU